GCAGAAGUAUUUCAGCGGUAGAAUACAACCUUGCCAAGGUUGGGGUCGCGGGUUCGAAUCCCGUCUUCUGCUCCA
rnacentral:tRNA from 1 species